UACGAAGGGUGCAAACGUUGCUCGGAAUUACUGGGCGUAAAGGGCGCGUAGGCGGCCCGCUAAGUCGAACGUGAAAUCCCCGAGCUCAACUCGGGAACUGCGUCCGAUACUGGUGGGCUUGAAUCCGGGAGAGGGAUGCGGAAUUCCAGGUGUAGCGGUGAAAUGCGUAGAUAUCUGGAGGAACACCGGUGGCGAAGGCGGCAUCCUGGACCGGCAUUGACGCUGAGGCGCGAAAGCUAGGGGAGCGAACAGG
rnacentral:rRNA from 1 species